GUUAAACAAGAUCGGAGAGAUCCGAGACAUACACCUGUCCCUAUCUACUAUCUAGCGAAACCACAGCCAAGGGAACGGGCUUGGAAUAAUUAGCGGGGAAAGAAGACCCUUUUGAGCUUGACUCUAAUCUGGCAGUGUAAGGAGACAUAAGAGGUGUAGAAUAAGUGGGAGAUAUUAGACUUCGGUUUGGUAUCGCCAAUGAAAUACCACUACUCUUAUUGUUUCCUUACUUACUUGAUUAAAUGGAACGUGUAUCAUUUCCUAGCCAUUAUACGGAUAUAUUUAUUAUAUCUUAUGGUAUUGGGUUUUGAUGCAAGCUUCUUGAUCAAAGUAUCACGAGUUUGUUAUAUAAUCGCAAACAAAUUCUUUAAUGAGAGAUGCAUUUACUGUAUUAUUGAUUUGAAAAUUUGGUAUAACUCCAAUUACUCAGGUAUGAUCCAAUUCAAGGACAUUGCCAGGUAGGGAGUUUGACUGGGGCGGUACAUCUCUCAAAUAAUAACGGAGGUGUCCCAAGGCCAGCUCAGUGCGGACAGAAACCACACAUAGAGCAAAAGGGCAAAUGCUGACUUGAUCUCGGUGUUCAGUACACACAGGGAC
rnacentral:ncRNA from 1 species